UGGAAAAAAAGGGAUGUUGGUUUUUCUUACAGGGAGAUUGGUUCUAGUGAGAGUGAUUCAGACUCUAAAACAG